AUGUUUGCCAGACCAUCUGCGCCCACAGACCAUCUUGUGGGUGCAGCUCAUGAAUCCAGUUUUAGGGGGACACCAGGAGCUACUGAAUGUUGGGACGUGGAGAUCGAAUCAACUAGAGGUCUCAUCACACUUCAUCAUCUAGAGCUAAUCGUCAACAGACAUUCUCUGGAAAGCCCCUCAUACAGUCACCGACCACUUCCUGACGGAGUGCCAAAGCUGAGCCUUGCCCUGGAGCUGCUUCUUCACUGCUGCCAUCAGAUCUUCUGUCAGUUGACUGUGGCCAGACCUUUUUCCCGACUCACACAUCUGCGGUCACUGCAGUAACUCUCUUAUUGCUGGGUAGACCAGAAAUCUAUCGAAUCCAUAGCAGUCCUGUGUUUGUUUACCCAUGAAAUCUUUGUGUAUGCAUUGAGAUAGAGGGGAGGGAUUCUUAGUUAAUAUAUUUAUACCUCCCUUUACUUUCGAUCCUGAACUUUCUAUUCAAAGACAAUUUACCCCCAUAUGUAAGACAACAUUUGUGAGCUGAACAAACAGUGCUAUCAGAUUGAGGUGAAUUGCUUCAGUAGUAUCACUUCAUGCAUAGAGAUUGAGUGUGCUGUAAAGCUCUGUAAAACAGCCAGCUACAUGGUAUCCUACAGGUUUAAUAUACUUCUCUAGCCUUGUACUUGGGAAGUUCUGUAAUUGGAGACAAUCUAGCUAGGAGAACUUUUUAAGCUAUUGAAGGCUGAAAUACAAGUUUUUGCGAAAUGUGACUUUCUAGUCUUGAAACUGAGUAGAUUACAAAUUUCUCUUAACUGGACAGAGUCAUUAUUGAAGAUGUAGAACAGUCUUGAUUAUCCAGAGUUUGAAUUUCCAGCAUAGGGAUUAUUCAGAUUUCUUCCUGACUCCCCUGUCUUUUCUGUCACUACCUGACGUGAAUCAUUUCUCUAAUCAUUGGCACCUCUACUAAUGGUACGGAAAGGCACGUUUGAACAGGAAAACCCAAACCUGGGAAUUUUCCUUCAGAAGAGUGAAUUAUGUAAAAAAUCUAAGUGGUAGGUUUUUUAAACUAUUCAUUAAAAUUGACUUUUUUCUGGGGGUACCCCUCUUUUUGUUUACAAAUGGUGGUUUAUUAUCGCUAUCAAAAUGCCAGUAUUUUACCCACAUGUUUAAGAGGCAAACAGUAAAUCCAGUAGUCUGAAUGAUUCCAAGUACUUGGUUUCAUUGUUUUGGCUUAUAUCAUUCCCCUGCCCUACCACCCAACCAACUAUUAUUUUGAAUUAACUGGUUGGAUAGCAUGCCUAGAUGGAAUUUUAAAAAGCCACUCAGAUCAAGCAAGUAUACCUUGUGUAAGUUAUUGGGAUUCUGAUAAGCAUAUUUCUCUAGCAUUAAAUACAAAAGUGUAUUAUUGGUGCCCAAACCUAAGUUAAUCUCUAACCCCAGUCCUAUCUCAUUUUCAUCAUCAGUGACUGCCAGUCAGUCCUUGAUAAAUUAUUUACAUUUAGGAUUUGACCCUCUAGAGGUCCUCAAAGUNNNNNNNNNNNNNNNNNNNNNNNNNNNNNNNNNNNNNNNNNNNNNNNNNNNNNNNNNNNNNNNNNNNNNNNNNNNNNNNNNNNNNNNNNNNNNNNNNNNGAUAAAUUAUUUACAUUUAGGAUUUGACCCUCUAGAGGUCCUCAAAGUCCCAAACAACUUUAAAGUCUUGACAAACUCUUAUAUCCUGGAAUUACAUUGAAAUGUAAUGAAUUGAAAGGGUGGCUGGCUUUUCCGAGAGACUGUGAUCGCAGAGUAGGCAUGGACCUUACCAGCCACCUUCCAGUUUUGCAGAGUGUAGGAUUCCAUCUAGUGGAUAUUUUCACAGAAUCAGAUUUGAUUUCCUCUCCUUUUCUUACACCUGAGUCAUGGUUUGAACAUUUUCAGAAUCUUGCAGUCAUAUCUGCCAUAUCGUAACAUCUUAUCAAAGAAUUCACUCUUCUCUUACACUAUCCUGAUCUGACAAAUAUGUCUAUAAACAAUUGGUUUCACUUGAGGUGCCUAACCCAAACUCACAAGAUGUUUCAGUUUCUAAAUUUAACAGGUAAUGUAAUGUAGCUAACAAAAUAGAUAAUUUGUAGUGUAGUUGAUCCAAAUAUAAAGGGCAAAAAUGUUUUUCUUGAUACUAAAAAUAUUUUCUUGUCCGUAGAUAAAAACUGAGUUUACUAGAAAGAAAUAUACUUGAAGUUUUAGAACGUUGAAGUAUGGUUGAUGACGUAGUAUAGUAACCAUUAGUUUUCAAUCCAUAUUGUAAAAUGAAAAUUUAAGCAAUAAUAUAGCAGGCAAAACUGAAAAUGGAAAACCUUGGUAACUAUUAGAAAAAUCAUUGUCAAAUCUAGUCAUAAAUUAUAUAUACGUAGGAAAUGCCUCUUGACAUUCAUACGCGUGUGCAUUCCAGCUGUGCACCUGUAUCUGUACUGAUAUUUGCACCUGUGUCUAUAGUCAGAAGUAAAGAGAAUGGUCAUAUUCCUAGCAACAUGUAAGGUGGUUAUGUUCCCGGCAAAAUGCCAUGUUUCUUGCUAGCUGACAUGAUUAAUUUCCCAUAAUCUGACAUGCAAUGUACUAGUUACCAGAUGAACCACACAUUACUCUUAAGGAAUUCUGAUCUAGUACUUAAUUAGCAAUUAUUUUAAUGUUGCAUGUUUCACUCAUGGAUAUAUUUCAUAUUUGGAAACACUGAGAGAAAAAAAUUCAAGGAUUACCAAGCUAUCAGAGCCCUCAGCUCUAAAGUUAACAUACUUGCCUGCUCAGGAAAAGGUCUGGAAAAGAAACAGCAUCCAUGAUUCGUGGGGAAGAAGAUCCUCAUGUGAAGCGGUCUGGUCUCAACUAAAACUAAAUCUGGCGUUAUGGAAAAGCCAGGCCGGUGAGACUAAAUUCUCUGUUUCUUCUUACUGCUGGCAAGUCACAAACCAAACAUAGGGUCUGUUUGUAUGAUAUUCACUUUUCUGUGAGUUCUGUAUAAGUGAGAGCACAAGGAAAGUGCCAUCAACAUGCUUAGUAUUUAAUGUGGCCUAAGAUAUUAUUUGAAAAUAUAUGUAAACAAUG
ensembl:lncRNA